rnacentral:rRNA from 1 species
GACGAACGCUGGCGGCGUGCUUAACACAUGCAAGUCGAACGGAAAGGCCCUGCUUUUGUGGGGUGCUCGAGUGGCGAACGGGUGAGUAACACGUGAGUAACCUGCCCUUGGCUUUGGGAUAACUUCAGGAAACUGGGGCUAAUACCGGAUAGGAGCUCCUGCUGCAUGGUGGGGGUUGGAAAGUUUCGGCGGUUGGGGAUGGACUCGCGGCUUAUCAGCUUGUUGGUGGGGUAGUGGCUUACCAAGGCUUUGACGGGUAGCCGGCCUGAGAGGGUGACCGGCCACAUUGGGACUGAGAUACGGCCCAGACUCCUACGGGACGCAGCAGUGGGGAAUAUUGCACAAUGGGCGGAAGCCUGAUGCAGCAACGCCGCGUGCGGGAUGACGGCCUUCGGGUUGUAAACCGCUUUCGCCUGUGACGAAGCGUGAGUGACGGUAAUGGGUAAAGAAGCACCGGCUAACUACGUG